GACGAACGCUGGCGGCGUGCCUAAUACAUGCAAGUAGAACGCAGUUGCGAACGGGUGAGUCACGCGUAGGUACCUGCCUCAUAGCGGGGGAUCACUAUUGGAAACGCUAGCUAAUACCCCAUACUGUGAUAUAGACCUGCGUUGUAUUAGCUAGUUGGUGAGGUAAAGGCUCACCAAGGCGACGAUACAUAGCCGACCUGAGAGGGUGACCGGGCACACCGGGACUGAGACAAGGCCCAGACUCCGACGGGAGGGAGGAGUAUGGGAGCUUCGGAAAUUGAGGGAAGCCUUGCCGAGCAACGCCGCCUGAGUGGAGAAGGGUGUCGGAGUGUAAAGAGCUGUUGUGAGAGAAGCGGUAACUAAAAAGAAAGGAACGGCUAACUACGUGCCAGCAGCCGCGGUAAUAC
rnacentral:rRNA from 1 species